CUCAGUAACGCCCCGCCCGUGUAAAAGCGAUGGAUGCCCGCUGUCCGUGCUUACCAAUGUGACAAGGAAAGCGUAAGCAUCCCACCUUGGGGAGUACGCGGCAACGGUGAACUCAAAGGAAUGACGGGGGCCGCACCAAGCGGAGGAACAUGUGGUUAAUUCGAUGAUACGCGAGGAACUUUACCCGGGGCUUGAACUGCACAGGAAUGCGGGAGAGAUCCCAAAGCCCUUCGGGGCCUGUGUGGAGGUGCUGCAUGGUUGUCGUCAGCUCGUGCCGUGAGGUGUCGGCUUAAGUGCCAUAACGAGCGCAACCCCUUUCGUCAGUUGCCAGCACGCAGUGGUGGGCACUCUGGCGACACUGCCUCCGUAAGGAGCGAGGAAGGUGGGGAUGACGUCAAAUCAGCACGGCCCUUACGUCCGGGGCUACACACGUGUUACAAUGGCGCGUACAAAAGGGCAAAAUAUACGGCAACGUGUAUCGAAUCCUUAAAACGCGUCCCAGUUCGGACCGGGGUCUGCAACCCGACCCCGCGAAGCUGGAUUCGCUAGUAAUCGCGCAUCAGCCAUGGCGCGGUGAAUACGUUCCCGGGCCUUGUACACACCGCCCGUCAAGCCAUGAAAGCCUGGAGCGCCUGAAGUCCGUUCCCGCGAGGGUCGGCCUAGGGU
rnacentral:rRNA from 1 species